ACGACGAGGUAGAUAGGGCAGAGGUGGAAGUGCCGUAAGGUAUGUAGCUGACUGUUACUAAUCGGUCGAGGGCUUGACCUG
rnacentral:rRNA from 1 species